AACGUAGGACGCGAGCGUUAUCCGGAGUUACUGGGCGUAAAGCGCGGGCAGGCGGUCUGACAAGUCUGAUGUGAAAUCUCCGGGCUUAACCCGGAAAGGUCAACCGAUACUGCGGGGCUAGAGUGCGGAAGGGGCAACUGGAAUUCUCGGUGUAGCGGUGAAAUGCGUAGAUAUCGAGAGGAACACCUGCGGCGAAGGCGGGUUGCUGGGCUGACACUGACGCUGAGGCGCGAAAGCUAGGGGAGCGAACGGG
rnacentral:rRNA from 1 species